AUUAAAAACAUACUAUAAUAAUUACAAAUGUCAUUAAAUUUGGGCUCCAACCCACUUGACAUUAAAGAAGUGCGGGUUAUCUAACUUCAUUUUAUUACAGGUUAUGUGUUUUAUUAACUAAUUUUUAAUUAAAGAAGUAAUAAUUAAAUAAUUUAACUUUCUUCGUUAUUUUUAGCUCGUUUUGUGUGCUUUUAUUUAUAAUAAUAAAUAAUAAGUGCUGUUAAAUUUUAUGUAAAACUGAUAACAUACUGCGUACAAUGUCCAAAUUCUUGAUAACUUGGACAUGAUUGCAUUAUAUAUUAAGCUUGAGGAGUUAAGACGGAUCUUGAAUUAGAACUAAUUAAAAUGGCACAACCACAAGCUCCUGUGGAACGAGAACCGUCAGAUACUCCUGGGGGACAACCAGAAUCACAAACUACUUCCAAUAUCUUGGUGGAACCUGACACAGGCAUGGAAGUACGUAAAGCAAAGAUAGAACUUAACGGGAACAAAAAAGUGCAAGUAUUAAAGCUUAUCAUCGAUGCUUACACAAACAUUUUCGACCGAUUCUUCCCUAAUCUCCCUUCUACAGCCCAGGAGAGAUCAGAUUUAAACAUCAGUAUACAAAUAACUAAUAUUAUAUUCACUUUACAUUCUAUUCGACGGCGGGCCUUUACAGCUUCGGACUCGAACACGAUUGGAAAGUUAAAGCACCAGUUGGUUUAGUAUGAGUGACCUCGAAUUAAACCGCCCUGGAUCAUUCAUAGAGGACAUGACCAUUCAAACCACAGGAAAAUUCUUCGUGGGAGGAAACCAGUAGUUUUAAGUGUUUAAACUAAACUUUCUUAAUAUUGUAUUGUUACCACUUUUUAUAAAUCGCUUUUUUCUUGUAUUUCGUUCUUUUUUUGAAGCUAAUUUUUUAUAAUAUUGUUAUUAGUGUUGAUAAAGAAAGACCCUUUCAAUUUGUUUGACAAAAAUGUUACCGAAUUUGUUAUAAAUUCAAAUUUUUACAUAAGUAUUUGAAAUGUAUGAAUAAAUAGUAGAAGCACAUUAAUAUAAUUAUUGAUUAAU